AUGGAAGAGGAUGACAAUCUUGGUGGUGGUGGCCUUCUUCUUCGUCGGAGUUGGUCGGCCGGCUGGUUGUGCUUGCAUGGUCAUGCAGUGACCGGCGGCUUGGCCGGUCGGCGGCGGCAGAACUUGGCCGGUGGCAGCGGCAAAGUUCUGCCUGGAUCCCGGGGCGGCGGCCUUGGAGGGUGGCGGCCGGUGAAGCUCGGGCUUCCCGCGGCGGCAUGGCGUGGUGCAGUCCCUGUCCAAGGCAGAUCUGUGACGGUGAUCUGCUAUGGAUUGGUUCGGAUCAGAGACGGUGACGAGCGAGCGGGAUCCUUCUCGGCGGCUCUCACGGCUUGGCGAGGCGGGGUGGGAGCCCUCCUCCUAGGCUCCAGUGGUGGCACACUCAGGCAGUGGCCGGUGCGCCAGGGAUCCCACGGUGGCACUGUUGCUGCGGUUGGUCGCCGGAUCUUGGCGGCUGGAUCUAGGGCUUUGAAGGCGGUCGAGAUGGUGCACAGGUUGUUGGGUGGAUUUCUUGGGACGGAUCCGGGUGAAAACCUGAUCUUCGAUCGAUGGACGGAGCCGGUGAUGACGAUGCCCUUAUCAUCGUUUCCUUCAUGA
rnacentral:rRNA from 1 species